CUGCACUGUCCACAUUUUUCACAAAUAGUUUGGAGAGACGUUGUCAAUGUCUUCAUGUUGCUUACAUUCUCCAAAACAGUGGGCGCUAAAGAUCAGCGCACGGCAGGCCAUUGCAGCCAAAGAGCUCGAGUUGAAAAAGUAUAUUGCUUACAGCAUCUGGUAUUCCCAGGCGGUCACCCAUCCAAUAUGGAAGGGGAGAUUUGGAGGUACCUGGUCAGGUCUUGGUCAGCCUUCAAAUCCCAGAUGUGGAGACUGCAGGGAUACCUCAUGGAGAAGACACUAAAGAGCCAUCUCUCAUUCAUCGAGUGGACUAAUUGGUUUGCGAAUGACCACAAAGAUGCUCCCAUAGGCAGAUUGGUGCAUGGCAUUCACCACUUAUUCAAAUUGUAGAGGUUGAAGCAGUCUUCCUUGUGGUCACUUGCCAUAACACUGUCAUGUGUUUUAUGAAAAAACCAUCAGUAACAUUUAAAUUGAGUUGAUGUGGACGGCUCUUUUUUUUGUCAGUGUUCAGUGCCUGUUUGUGAGAUAUGCAUUGUUUGAAAGAUAAGCUUUUGAUUUUGUUUAAUUUUAAUAUGCCUUUCAUCAACAGUGGUUUGGGGUUUUAUAACAACAAUUAAAGUGCUUAACUACUGGUGAACGAUGUUGCAGAACAUAUAUGGUUUGUGUUGAUUGCAU
ensembl:lncRNA